GGGGGUAGGUGAGGUACCACCACAAGACUUGUCACCUUUGUGGUUGGGGUUCGACUCCCCAUACCUCCACCA
rnacentral:tRNA from 1 species